rnacentral:rRNA from 1 species
GGGUAGAUAACUGGGGUGAAGUCGUAACAAGGUAUCCGUACCGGAAGGUGCGGAUGGAUCACCUCCUUUCUAUGGAGA